GAAGAGAGCCAAUGGAAGGACUUUGUUUGACCCAGCUGCCAAUCUCCCCUGAAGCCGUGCGCCAGACUAAACACUCACACUAUUUUAACUCAAAUCAGGCUACAGCAGCUGUUUGCUUUCCGGCUCUGAGCUCUGCACCCACGAUGGCCUGUGCCGUUUACCCAGCGAGCUCUGCUAGCUGCCUGGCUGGAAUCUGUUCCGGGUUGGGAGUUGUCAUUGGAGAGCACGUUUUAACCCUCUUCCUCGUGGUAAAUGUGGACCGUUUGUUGUUCGGCAUUUGGAUCGGCCUUUGUGUGCAUCAGGAACAAGGCCCCUACCACGCACCUCUAAGAACAAAGAUGGUACCUAUUCACCCCGACCCAGACUUCUUCGACCCUAGCAAGAUGGAAAGUUGGCAUCAGAGGAGCGGAGAGACUCACGUCAUUCUAAGAGUCAGUACUGACUGCUUAAUGCUCCCGCGAGUUCCUCCAGAAGCAACACCCAAGCACGCAAGUGUUGGAUUUUGUCCAAGAGAGCAUGUAAUUUAUGAAGGAAGUGUACGUCAUUCACAUUUUCCAGAAAAGAGGACAAAAAACAGAUUAGCCCUGAGCUAACACCUGCUGCCAAUCCUCCUCUUUUUGCUGAAGAAGACUGGCCCUGAGCUAACAUACGUGCCCAUCUUCCUCUACUUUAUAUGUGGGACGCCUGCC
rnacentral:lncRNA from 1 species